CUCCCUAUGACCGCCCACGAAUUCCCGUUUCCCCUCGCCGAACCAAAAACCCCAAUAGAAGCGACCGCAUGAGGCGGCGAAGGCAAAUAUGCCCUGAUCGGCGACCCACGAAGCCGGCGCUGCCGUCUUCCCCGACCCACAACGACGUGGCCCCAAUAGGAUCGAAUUAGGUGAGGAAUCCUUCAAUACCAUAUGCAGCUUUUUCCUUAUUGGUGGUUAGUGAAGGAAUGUCACAUGGCUUAACUCAUAGGAGAGCAGAUAGGUGAGACGGAUGCUGAAGCAACAUGAAGAUAUCGAUGGUACCACAUGGAGAAAAUAUGGGUUGUUUGCAUAAGAGGAGGCACAACUACAAUUAUGGUCAUAACCAGAAGACAUCGGAAUCACAAAGAGAAGAUGAUGGAACUCCAUAUCUGAUUGGUAAUGGUCAAGGAGAAGAUAUUGGAGUUCUAAAUCUACAAUGAACACAUUGUGAAUGUGGAGACAGACCAUAUAUCAAUAGGUAAAUGCAUCUAUUGUAUUGGCAAAUACUAAAAGUAGUAGCAUGAAUAUAUGGUAGUUUAUGUUGACAAUUUAGAAGAGCACAUCCAGCAUUCACAAUCACUUUAUGUGAUGAACUUUACCCUUGAGAAAUUCUAUAUCUUAUGUAUUGUAAACCCCAACAAAGUUGAUAGAAUUAUGAUCCUUCUUAGGUUAUCAACUA